rnacentral:rRNA from 1 species
AACGAACGCUGGCGGCAGGCCUAACACAUGCAAGUCGAGCGAACCCUUCGGGGUUAGCGGCGGACGGGUUAGUAACGCGUGGGAACAUACCCUUUGGUACGGAAUAGCCUCGGGAAACUGAGAGUAAUACCGUAUGUGCCCUUCGGGGAAGGAUUAUCGCCAAAGGAUUGGCCGCGUUGGAUUAGGUAGUUGGUGGGGUAAGUGGCCUACCAAGCCUACGAUCCAUAGCUGGUUUGAGAGGAUGAUCAGCAACACUGGGACUGAGACACGGCCCACGACUCCUACGGGAGGCAGCAGUGGGGAAUCUUAGACAAUGGGCGGCAAGCCUGAUCUAGCCAUGCCGCGUGGACGAUGAAGGCCUUAGGGUUGUAAAGUCCUUUCAGCUGGGAAGAUAAU